GCGGAUAUGGCGGAAUUGGCAGACGCGCUAGAUUUAGGUUCUAGUGUCUUCGACGUAAGGGUUCAAGUCCCUUUAUCCGCA
rnacentral:tRNA from 2 species